CCCACGCUGUGUAAAAUGACACAGAGCACUCUGAUUGGCUGGAUUUCAAGCUAACCAAUCGAAGUGCUGUGACAGGCAAAUGUAGAGACUUACCUGUCAGUCUAUUCAUUUACCUGUCAGAGCACUCUGAUUGGAUGGCUUAAACCCACCAACCAGAGUGCUCUGAGCCUAAUUGCAGGGCGGGGGAAGUUUGUACGGAGCCCUCCAUGG